rnacentral:rRNA from 1 species
GAUGAACGCUGGCGGCGUGCCUAAUACAUGCAAGUCGAGCGAACAGACGAGGAGCUUGCUCCUCUGACGUUAGCGGCGGACGGGUGAGUAACACGUGGAUGUCCUACCUAUAAGACUGGGAUAACUUCGGGAAACCGGAGCUAAUACCGGAUAAUAUAUUGAACCGCAUGGUUCAAUAGUGAAAGACGGUUUUGCUGUCACUUAUAGAUGGAUCCGCGCCGCAUUAGCUAGUUGGUAAGGUAACGGCUUACCAAGGCAACGAUGCGUAGCCGACCUGAGAGGGUGAUAGGCCACACUGGAACUGAGACACGGUCCAGACUCCUACGGGAGGCAGCAGUAGGGAAUCUUCCGCAAUGGGCGAAAGCCUGACGGAGCAACGCCGCGUGAGUGAUGAAGGUCUUCGGAUCGUAAAACUCUGUUAUUAGGGAAGAACAAAUGUGUAAGUAACUAUGCACGUCUUGACGGUACCUAAUCAGAAAGCCACGGCUAACUACGUG